ACCCACCCCAACCAAAGCCCACUUCUUUGCCCCCACUUGGCCUUCUUCUCCUUCCCCGCGAGGCGACCGACGCGGAGGGUAGGAGGAUGUGCGAGGGGCGGCGCCCCGGGCACGCGACCCGGCCGCCGUGGGCGCUGGCGGCGGAGCUGCGGCGGAGGGAGGCCGCGGCGGACGCGCGGCUGGCGGCGGCGCGGGCGCGGCUGGCCGAGGCGCUGGCGGAGCUGGAGCGGGCCCGGGCGCGCGCCGCCGAGCUGCAGCGCCGCCUGGAGGAGAACUACGGCAAGCGGCGCCGGCUCAAGCGGGUGGUGGCCGCCACCCGCUCCCGGAUCCACGACACCCGCGCGCUCCUCCAGGACCACCAGGACCCACACCCGCCGCCGCAGCAGCAGCAGCUCCCCGCCGAAUCCGAUCCCACCUCCUAGGGAGUCGCGGCCGGGUGAUGUGACGUCCUGCUCCGAAGACCGAUCGGAUCGGCAGGCUGCGAGCCUACACAGCUACUGAUUUCAUUCCCCUUUCUUCUUGUUUUUUCGCAUCGGAGGAAGCUAGCUAGUAGCCUGGUAGCUAGCCUCUGCAACAUACGAGCGAGCGGGACGAAUGUUCCAUGGAACAUCAAUCAAUCAGAAAAAGGCUUGUCAUGUCAUUCGCGUCGCAUACAGUGACUGGAAUGAAUCGCAAGUUAUUAGCACCUGGCAGGGACUCACUCUGUAAUACAGUAGUAGUAAUAAUGUCUUCAGUGACUGCACGCAUACAUGUGCCAAAGUCUUCAGCCCCUGUCGUAUCAAACCUCUGCUACCGUCACG
rnacentral:rRNA from 1 species